UGCAGUCGAGGGGCAGCAUUUCCAGCUUGCUGGGAGAUGGCGACCGGCGCACGGGUGCGCAACGCGUAUGGAACCUGCCCGCUGCAGGGGAAUAGCCCGGGGAAACCCGGAUUAAUGCCCCGUAGAACCCUUUCGCGGCAUCGCGAAAUGGUUAUAGCCUACGGGCGGCGGCGGAUGGCCAUGCGUACCAUUAGCUUGUUGGUGGGGGUAACGGGCCCACCAAUGCUACGAUGGUUAGGGGCCCUGAGAGGGGGAUCCCCCACACUGGUACUGAGACACGGACCAGACUCCUACGGGAGGCAGCAGUGAGGAAUAUUGGACAAUGGGCGGGAGCCUGAUCCAGCCAUGCCGCGUGCGGGAAGACGGCCCUACGGGUCGUAAACCGCUUUUGUACGGGAAGAAACCCACGCUUGCGAGCGUGGUUGACGGUACCGUAAGAAUAAGGACCGGCUAACUCCGUGCCAGCAGCCGCGGUAAUACGGAGGGUCCGAGCGUUAUCCGGAAUCAUUGGGUUUAAAGGGUCCGUAGGCGGGCCGUUAAGUCAGGGGUGAAAUACUACGGCUCAACCGUAGAGGUGCCCUUGAUACUGGCGGUCUUGAGUCACGGUGGGGCGGCCGGAAUAUGUGGUGGUAGCGGUGAAAUGCAUAGAUAUCACAUAGAACACCGAUCGCGAAAGGCAGGUCGCCCAACCGUGUACUGACGCUGAUGGACGAAAGCGUGGGGAGCGAACGGGAUUAGAUACCCCGGUAGUCCACGCCGUAACGAUGGACACUAGCUGUC
rnacentral:rRNA from 1 species